rnacentral:rRNA from 3 species
UUCGGGUUGUCAUGCCAAUGGCACUGCCCGGUAGCUAAAUGCGGAAGAGAUAAGUGCUGAAAGCAUCUAAGCACGAAACUUGCCCCGAGAUGAGUUCUCCCUGAGACUUAGAGUCUCCUGAAGGAACGUUGAAGACGACGACGUUGAUAGGCCGGGUGUGUAAGCGCAGCGAUGCGUUGAGCUAACCGGUACUAAUGAACCGUGAGGCUUAACCUUACAACGCCGAAG